GAGGGUAGAGCUCAAUGGUAGAGUGUGUGCUUAGCAUGCAAGAAGUCCUGGGUUCAAUCUCCAGUACCUCCA
rnacentral:tRNA from 1 species